rnacentral:rRNA from 1 species
AACGAACGCUGGCGGCAGGCUUAACACAUGCAAGUCGAGCGCCUCGCAAGAGGAGCGGCAGACGGGUGAGUAACGCGUGGGAACGUACCCUUAUCUUCGGAAUAGCUCUGGGAAACUGGAAGUAAUACCGAAUGUGCCCUUAGGGGGAAAGAUUUAUCGGAUAAGGAUCGGCCCGCGUUGGAUUAGCUAGUUGGUGGGGUAAAGGCCUACCAAGGCGACGAUCCAUAGCUGGUCUGAGAGGAUGAUCAGCCACAUUGGGACUGGGACACGGCCCAAACUCCCUCCGGAGGCAGCAAGGGGGGAUAUUGGAACAAGGGCGGAAGGCUUGACCCACCCAUGCGGGUGAGUGGAUGAGGCCUUAAGGUUUUUAAGCUCUUUCACCGGAGAAGAUAAUGACGGUAUCCGGAGAAGAAGCUCCGGCUAACUUCGUG